GUUACUUUGGCAGAAUAAAAUGCAUUAGGUUUAGGACCUAAAAAUAUAGAGGGCUCUAUAAGUAAUA
rnacentral:tRNA from 1 species